rnacentral:snRNA from 1 species
GGAUGUGAGGGUGAAAGGCUCUGACAUUUGUCACCUACUGAUCACCAGGGUUGAUCUGGCUGGCAAGGUGGGUGUCCCCUUCCUCUCUCAGGGCUCCUUCUGUGUCCCUCCCAAACCUGUGUGCUCAGUGGAAGAGGAUGACCUUCCCUGACAGAGGAGGAUUGUUCUUUGGUCAAGAAUAAUCAUACCUGAGUAGCUGUAUUCCCCUGCUAGACCCUCCAAAGACCCUCUCAAGGUCAGAAGGUAGCGUGGUGAAGCUUCCAGGACUCCAAACACAUCCAAAUCAGGUACGGCAUGUGGCAGCCUGCCCUUCU